CAAGUCGAGCGAACAGAUAAGGAGCUUGCUCCUUUGACGUUAGCGGCGGACGGGUGAGUAACACGUGGGUAACCUACCUAUAAGACUGGAAUAACUCCGGGAAACCGGGGCUAAUGCCGGAUAACAUAUAGAACCGCAUGGUUCUAUAGUGAAAGAUGGUUUUGCUAUCACUUAUAGAUGGACCCGCGCCGUAUUAGCUAGUUGGUAAGGUAAUGGCUUACCAAGGCGACGAUACGUAGCCGACCUGAGAGGGUGAUCGGCCACACUGGAACUGAGACACGGUCCAGACUCCUACGGGAGGCAGCAGUAGGGAAUCUUCCGCAAUGGGCGAAAGCCUGACGGAGCAACGCCGCGUGAGUGAUGAAGGGUUUCGGCUCGUAAAACUCUGUUAUUAGGGAAGAACAUAUGUGUAAGUAACUGUGCACAUCUUGACGGUACCUAAUCAGAAAGCCACGGCUAACUACGUGCCAGCAGCCGCGGUAAUACGUAGGUGGCAAGCGUUAUCCGGAAUUAUUGGGCGUAAAGCGCGCGUAGGCGGUUUCUUAAGUCUGAUGUGAAAGCCCACGGCUCAACCGUGGAGGGUCAUUGGAAACUGGGAAACUUGAGUGCAGAAGAGGAAAGUGGAAUUCCAUGUGUAGCGGUGAAAUGCGCAGAGAUAUGGAGGAACACCAGUGGCGAAGGCGACUUUCUGGUCUGUAACUGACGCUGAUGUGCGAAAGCGUGGGGAUCAAACAGGAUUAGAUACCCUGGUAGUCCACGCCGUAAACGAUGAGUGCUAAGUGUUAGGGGGUUUCCGCCCCUUAGUGCUGCAGCUAACGCAUUAAGCACUCCGCCUGGGGAGUACGACCGCAAGUUGAAACUCAAAGGAAUUGAC
rnacentral:rRNA from 1 species